GUGGGGAAUAUUGCGCAAUGGGGGCAACCCUGACGCAGCAAUACCGCGUGAGUGAAGAAGGUUUUCGGAUCGUAAAGCUCUGUUAUUGGGGAAGAAGAAUGACGGUACCCAAUGAGGAAGUCCCGGCUAACUACGUGCCAGCAGCCGCGGUAAUACGUAGGGGACAAGCGUUGUCCGGAAUGACUGGGCGUAAAGGGCGCGUAGGCGGUCUGAUAAGUCAGAUGUGAAAGGUACCGGCUCAACCGGUGACGUGCAUUUGAAACUGUCAGACUUGAGUAUUGGAGAGGCAAGUGGAAUUCCUAGUGUAGCGGUGAAAUGCGUAGAUAUUAGGAGGAACACCAGUGGCGAAGGCGGCUUGCUGGACAAAUACUGACGCUGAGGUGCGAAAGCGUGGGGAGCGAACAGGAUUAGAAACCCUAGUAGUCC
rnacentral:rRNA from 1 species